rnacentral:misc_RNA from 1 species
GGAAUAUUGCACAAUGGGCGCAAGCCUGAUGCAGCCAUGCCGCGUGAGUGAUGAAGGCCUUCGGGUUGUAAAGCUCUGUCUUCAGGGACGAUAAUGACGGUACCUGAGGAGGAAGCCACGGCUAACUACGUGCCAGCAGCCGCGGUAAUACGUAGGUGGCAAGCGUUGUCCGGAUUUACUGGGCGUAAAGGGAGCGUAGGCGGAUACUUAAGUGGGAUGUGAAAUACCUGGGCUUAACUUGGGUGCUGCAUUCCAAACUGGGUGUCUAGAGUGUUGGAGAGGAAAGUGGAAUUCCUAGUGUAGCGGUGAAAUGCGUAGAGAUUAGGAAGAACACCAGUGGCGAAGGCGACUUUCUGGACAAUAACUGACGCUGAGGCUCGAAAGCGUGGGGAGCAAACAGGA